rnacentral:rRNA from 1 species
UACGGAGGGGGUUAGCGUUGUUCGGAAUGACUGGGCGUAAAGCGCGCGUAGGCGGGCUGGAAAGUUGGGGGUGAAAUCCCGGGGCUCAACCCCGGAACUGCCCUUGAAACUGGAGAGCUAGAAUCUUGGAGAGGCGAGUGGAAUUCCGAGUGUAGAGGUGAAAUUCGUAGAUAUUCGGAAGAACACCAGUGGCGAAGGCGACUCGCUGGACAAGUAUUGACGCUGAGGUGCGAAAGCGUGGGGAGCAAACAGG